rnacentral:rRNA from 1 species
CCUACGGGGGGCAGCAGUGGGGAAUAUUGCACAAUGGGGGAAACCCUGAUGCAGCGACGCCGCGUGGGUGAAGAAGUAUUUCGGUAUGUAAAGCCCUAUCAGCAGGGAAGAAAAUGACGGUACCUGACUAAGAAGCCCCGGCUAACUACGUGCCAGCAGCCGCGGUAAUACGUAGGGGGCAAGCGUUAUCCGGAUUUACUGGGUGUAAAGGGAGCGUAGGUGGCGUGCCAAGUCAGGAGUGAAAACCCAGGGCCCAACCCUGGGACUGCUCUUGAAACUGGCAGGCUUGAGUGCUGGAGAGGUAAGCGGAAUUCCUAGUGUAGCGGUGAAAUGCGUAGAUAUUAGGAGGAACACCAGUGGCGAAGGCGGCUUACUGGACAGUGACUGACACUGAGGCUCGAAAGCGUGGGGAGCAAACAGGAUUAGAUACCCCAGUAG